AUUGAACGCUGGCGGCAUGCCUUACACAUGCAAGUCGAACGGCAGCACGGGGCAACCUGGUGGCGAGUGGCGAACGGGUGAGUAAUGCAUCGGAACGUGCCAUUGAGUGGGGGAUAACGUAGCGAAAGUUGCGCUAAUACCGCAUAUUCUGUGAGCAGGAAAGCAGGGGACCGCAAGGCCUUGCGCUCUUUGAGCGGCCGAUGUCAGAUUAGCUAGUUGGUGAGGUAACGGCUUACCAAGGCGACGAUCUGUAGCGGGUCUGAGAGGAUGAUCCGCCACACUGGAACUGAGACACGGUCCAGACUCCUACGGGAGGCAGCAGUGGGGAAUUUUGGACAAUGGGCGGAAGCCUGAUCCAGCCAUGCCGCGUGAGUGAAGAAGGCCUUCGGGUUGU
rnacentral:rRNA from 1 species